UGUUUUAAUUACUAUUAUACACAUGUAUUCCCUCACUCCUAAACUGUAUUUUAGAAACCAUGAUGGAUCAUAUUGCUAUCAAUUAAUAGUUUGGCAACAAACUGCCUCUUCUGAAGAGAUGAGAACAAGAAUGUACAUUUUGCAUGUACAUCUUCAGCUACCUUCGUUUUUAUUCAAUAAAUCUAUAUUUUAUGCCAGUUCAGAUAACACUAAUGAAUAGCUUUUUAAAACAUAAUGGUGUAGGAAGAGAGCAUCGGAAAGUAGAAAUGGACUGAAAGGUUAAUUCUGAUUAAUACAAAGCCAAGCCCCAUGAAUCUGGGAGUGUAUGAGAUCUAGCAAUGAAGAAAGGACAAUAGUUCAGAAUAGUUCCUUUUUAAACAAAAUCAAUCAUUGGAUCCAACCAAGGUGACAGCAAUAAAGCUAGAAUUAUGGGGCAAUAAUAUAAAGCUGAUUUGCAUAAAUCUUUACUUUUGGCAGGCCCAUGGGCAAAGACAGGCAGUGUUUUCAUAACAGCUUCACUAUCUCAAUCCAUAUUGGUAAGUAUAGUCUUAUCUCACAAUGACUGUAUUUACUACAAGUAGAAAGCUCUGAUCCUCUAGGUGUUUUUGGACUUCAAAUCCCAGAAGCCCCAGACAGAACAGCUAAUGUGUUAAAGGAGUUACAGUACAAAAUAUCUGGAGGACCAAAGAAUCCUCACUCCUGUCAUAAGGAUUACUUCCUCUCCCAAGAAUUCUCUGUCCCUUUAAGACAAGCUGGAGAGAUCUUGUUGAAUAUCCCUACAACUGGAGAGUUAAGAAGGAGUGACUGGAACCAACUGCUUAAAUGACUCAAGUCAGCUGCUGUGAGUCUUAGAAUAGUAUGGUUUCCAACAAGGAAAGUCUGGAAAGGCUUUUUCUUUUGAGGUGGGGGUCUAUAGCUCCCUAACCAGCAUGGAUACUUAGUUCCUCAUAAAUCUAAAUUGUAGGCAAGGAGACUAAUUUUGUGACAGCUCUAGCUCCCAAAAAGGGCAUAAAUUUACUAGGUUCUUUUGGAAGGAUCACUGAACCAAGUCACAGUAUCAGAAAUCACUUAGUGUUUAACACUGUUUUUGUAAGUUAAUUUCCUCUUAGGAGAAAUAAAUGCUGAAAAGGUGGAUAUGAGGGAAUUAAUAGUUGCGCAAUUUGCUGGAGCAACUUUUCUUUAUUUCAAAUGAGAUCAAGUUCCAUGCUUUGCAACCUGAUUUUCUGGUAUUCUUGUUAUUGUUUGCAUUCUUCUGGGAGUUAUUUCUCUUCACCCCCGCCUCCACUUCUGGAACUAGUAAGAUUUGAUUUUGUUUUAUUAUUAUUUUAAGGCCCGUGUUUGUACGAAUGUAAUAUCUGUCUAAUUCUAUUUCAGCCUCUAUGUGUCUGGUGUGCAUGGUGAAACAGCGGCACACACACACACACACACACACACACACACUGUUACAGUUUGGAUCACUGAGGCAUUGCAUGAAAAAAGCUUUUGUUGCCUCUAAAGCAGUGGUUCUCAACAUGGGGUCCCCAGAUGUUUUUGGCUUUCAACAUCCAGAAAUCGUAAUAGCUGGUAAACUGGCUGGAAUUUCUGGGUGUUGUAGGCCAAAAUAAUCUGGAGACGCCAGACUGAGAACUACUGCUCUAAAUUGUUUUUGGUAGGACAGUGGAAAGAGGAGUAGAGAGUUCUGUUCCCUCUGAAACAGUCUCAAAUCAGCUGGUUUCUAGAUAGUUGUGUGUGCCCUCAAGUCAUUUUUGAUCUAUGGUAACCCAGCCUAAGGCAACCAUUUCCACAGGUGUUUCUUGGCAAUAUUUUCCCAGAAGAGCUUUGCUAUUGCCUUGUUUUGAGUCAGAGAGAGUGUGACUGGCCCAAGAUCAUCCAGUAGAUUUCAUGGUUGAACUGGAAUUAAAAUCCUAGUCUAUGAAAUCAUAGUCGAAUGCUCAAACCACUAGACCAAUUUAACAGGAUUCCUCUUGUCAGACGGCUCUACCUUUUUGCUUUCAUAAGUUAUUCAAUUAAAAAAAGACUUGUAAAGUUAGAGAAAGUAAUUGAUACACCAUCAUAACAGAGCAUUAAAAAAACAACUCAGGUGAUGUUAUGGUUGAGCCUUCUGGCUCCGAUACUAGGAGACGGGGUCGUAAGACUCCUCGUGAGUCAGACUCUUUUGAGGAGCGUGAAAGGAAACGGCUCCGGGACUUAUUUGCAGAACCAACAGAUGAGGACUCUUUUGAGGGUUUUACCGAGGGAAUGGAGGAAGAAAUGGUCAGCUCGGAGGAGGAUGACAUGGAGUGGACUCGUGUGAGGGAGGAUUUGGGUGUCACCGGCAAUGAAAGCAUGGGAGGUGAUUGGCGGGUUGCAGGAUCAGACCCAUGGACGGGCUGGAGGGAUGGAGCGGGAUCCACAGCUGGGGAUGCUGUGGGGCGUAGUCAAAGGUGUUUUAGCUCUGAUGAGGAUGAUGAUGAUGAGGCACCUGGGAUUAGGAUGGCAGCUGACAGCGAUGAUGAGCUUGAACUGGGAUAAAAUGGGGUUUAGGAUCAAUGUCUAAUUGCGUUGGGCAAGGUAAUCUGGACGAACGCUUGGGCUCUUGUUGGGGAACUUCCUGAAGACGGGUGUGAUUCGUUGCUGGAUACCUUGGACCUCCGUCGUCUUUUUGACGGACAUUAAUUACCUACUCUGGAUUGACGCUGGACUGACUGACUUCGACCCCGGAUUAUCCCUUCUGUGGCUAUCGGUGGGACUUGUGGAAUUCUAGACGUCUGCACUUGGCUUUCGACCUUGGACCGGAUUGAGACCCUGCUGACUGCCGUUACCCUGAUUGAUGUGCCUGGACCCGGAUUUCGCUCGUUGCACGGAGGAGUAAACAGCCUGAUUUACUCAUCUGUAGCUUUUGAGUAGCAGAGAGGAAUCUGCUGCCAAUUUAUUGUGUUCAUUCUGACCUUCUGUUAAUCCUCUUUUGUUUGCUAAAUUUGCAGGCUGAAGUAAGCACUUUUGAUUUAAUCCGGAUUAAACUCCUGUUUAAUCCGGUUUAUCCUUUUUGAACCGUUUUAGUUCAAACGGAGCUGUUUUUGUUACUUUUCACACUGAAGUCAAGUGUUUGCCUAAUCCUUUGUUUCCUACGGGCAUUUUCAGUUUUGUAACCUCAAUAAACUGAGUUUUACUCUA